rnacentral:rRNA from 1 species
GACGAACGCUGUUUGCGUGCUUAACACAUGCAAGUCGAACGGAAAGGCCCUGCUUUUGUGGGGUGCUCGAGUGGCGAACGGGUGAGUAACACGUGAGUAACCUGCCCUUGACUUUGGGAUAACUUCAGGAAACUGGGGCUAAUACCGGAUAGGAGCUCCUGCUGCAUGGUGGGGGUUGGAAAGUUUCGGCGGUUGGGGAUGGACUCGCGGCUUAUCAGCUUGUUGGUGGGGUAGUGGCUUACCAAGGCUUUGACGGGUAGCCGGCCUGAGAGGGUGACCGGCCACAUUGGGACUGAGAUACGGCCCAGACUCCUACGGGAGGCAGCAGUGGGGAAUAUUGCACAAUGGGCGGAAGCCUGAUGCAGCAACGCCGCGUGCGGGAUGACGGCCUUCGGGUUGUAAACCGCUUUCGCCUGUGACGAAGCGUGAGUGACGGUAAUGGGUAAAGAAGCACCGGCUAACUACGUGCCAGCAGCCGCGGUGAUACGUAGGGUGCGAGCGUUGUCCGGAUUUAUUGGGCGUAAAGGGCUCGUAGGUGGUUGAUCGCGUCGGAAGUGUAAUCUUGGGGCUUAACCCUGAGCGUGCUUUCGAUACGGGUUGACUUGAGGAAGGUAGGGGAGAAUGGAAUUCCUGGUGGAGCGGUGGAAUGCGCAGAUAUCAGGAGGAACACCAGUGGCGAAGGCGGUUCUCUGGGCCUUUCCUGACGCUGAGGAGCGAAAGCGUGGGGAGCGAACAGGCUUAGAUACCCUGGUAGUCCACGCUGUAAACGGUGGGUACUAGGUGUGGGGUCCAUUCCACGGGUUCCGUGCCGUAGCUAACGCUUUAAGUACCCCGCCUGGGGAGUACGGCCGCAAGGCUAAAACUCAAAGGAAUUGACGGGGCCCCGCACAAGCGGCGGAGCAUGCGGAUUAAUUCGAUGCAACGCGUAGAACCUUACCUGGGUUUGACAUGGAUCGGGAGUGCUCAGAGAUGGGUGUGCCUCUUUUGGGGUCGGUUCACAGGUGGUGCAUGGCUGUCGUCAGCUCGCGUCGUGAGAUGUUGGGUUAAGUCCCGCAACGAGCGCAACCCUUGUUCACUGUUGCCAGCACGUUAUGGUGGGGACUCAGUGGAGACCGCCGGGGUCAACUCGGAGGAAGGUGGGGAUGACGUCAAGUCAUCAUGCCCCUUAUGUCCAGGGCUUCACGCAUGCUACAAUGGCUGGUACAGAGAGUGGCGAGCCUGUGAGGGUGAGCGAAUCUCGGAAAGCCGGUCUCAGUUCGGAUUGGGGUCUGCAACUCGACCUCAUGAAGUCGGAGUCGCUAGUAAUCGCAGAUCAGCAACGCUGCGGUGAAUACGUUCCCGGG